AGAGUUUGAUCAUGGCUCAGGACGAACGCUGGCGGCGUGCUUAACACAUGCAAGUCGAGCGGAAAGGCCCUUCGGGGUACUCGAGCGGCGAACGGGUGAGUAACACGUGAGCAACCUGCCCCUGGCUCUAGGAUAGCUCCGGGAAACCGGGAUUAAUACCGGAUAUGACCUGCUUACGCAUGUUUGCGGGUGGAAAGUUUUUCGGCUGGGGAUGGGCUCGCGGCCUAUCAGCUUGUUGGUGGGGUGAUGGCCUACCAAGGCGACGACGGGUAGCCGGCCUGAGAGGGCGGGCGGCCACACUGGGACUGAGACACGGCCCAGACUCCUACGGGAGGCAGCAGUGGGGAAUAUUGCGCAAUGGGCGGAAGCCUGACGCAGCGACGCCGCGUGGGGGAUGAAGGCCUUCGGGUUGUAAACCUCUUUCACCAGGGGCGAAGCGAAAGUGACGGUACCUGGAGAAGAAGCGCCGGCUAACUACGUGCCAGCAGCCGCGGUAAUACGUAGGGCGCAAGCGUUGUCCGGAAUUAUUGGGCGUAAAGAGCUCGUAGGCGGCCAGUUGCGUCUGCUGUGAAAUCCCGGGGCUUAACCCUGGGCGUGCAGUGGAUACGGGCUGGCUGGAGGCAGGCAGGGGAGAAUGGAAUUCCCGGUGUAGCGGUGAAAUGCGCAGAUAUCGGGAGGAACACCGGUGGCGAAGGCGGUUCUCUGGGCCUGUUCUGACGCUGAGGAGCGAAAGCGUGGGGAGCGAACAGGAUUAGAUACCCCGGUAGUCC
rnacentral:rRNA from 1 species